GUGGAUUUGGCGGCAGAGGCCGG
rnacentral:piRNA from 1 species